CUCGGUCGGCACCUGCAGCUAGCAGCUGAGCGCGUAGGGGCCGAGCGACCCCGGGACGCUCGCGGCACCCUCCGCAGGAAAAUUUCCGACUUGGUUCUUGAGGUUCCUGCCUCAGCCCCAAGGAGGAAAGCACCCAUUCUCCCCUCUUUUCCGCAUUCCGGGCCUUUUCUGCUUCUCCCCAGUAUGGUCCGAAACUACAGGAGGGGAACCCCUCCUGGCCCGGCCUUUCUAUUCCCUGGCUGGAGUGAUUCCGCCUGAAGGAGAAUUCGCCCGUUUUCCCCGGACCCAGCUGCCACAAGCAUUUAGUAUUAGGCUGCCGCUUAUUAUUAGAGCGGGCUUAGAACAUCCUCAGCGAGGUUGGAGUGCUGGAGUGCAGUAGCAUGAUCUCCGUUCACUGCAGCCUCAACCUCCUGGGCUCAAGUAAUCCUCCUGUCUUGUCCUCCCAAAAUGCUGGAAUUACAGGUGAGCCACCACACCCAGGCAAAAUGACAUUUUUGUUCAUG
rnacentral:lncRNA from 1 species